rnacentral:rRNA from 1 species
ACCGUACUCCUACGGGAGGCAGCAGAGGAGAAUUUUGGACAAUGGGGGCAACCCUGAUCCAGCAAUGCCGCGUGAGUGAAGAAGGCCUUCGGGUUGUAAAGCUCUUUUGUCAGGGAAGAAACGGUAGUAGCUAAUAUCUAUUACUAAUGACGGUACCUGAAGAAUAAGCACCGGCUAACUACGUGCCAGCAGCCGCGGUAAUACGUAGGGUGCAAGCGUUAAUCGGAAUUACUGGGCGUAGAGCGUGCGCAGGCGGUUGUGUAAGUCAGAUGUGAAAUCCCCGGGCUCUACCUGGGAAUUGCAUUUGAGACUGCACGGCUAGAGUGUGUCAGAGGGGGGUAGAAUUCCACGUGUAGCAGUGAAAUGCGUAGAUAUGUGGAGGAAUACCGAUGGCGAAGGCAGCCCCCUGGGAUAACACUGACGCUCAUGCACGAAAGCAUGGGGAGCAAACAGGAUUAGAUACCCUGGUAGUCCUUGAC